AGUGGGAUUGCUGGCCCUAUGGCAAGUAGUAGUUUAUGAGAAAUUGCCAGACUGUUUUCCAAAGUGGCUAUGGUAUUUUGCAUUCCUACCAACAAU
rnacentral:pre_miRNA from 1 species